CUACCAGCGGCCCACAGUGUCCGGUUCGCGCGCCACGCAAAGCGAAGUGCGACCGUUGCCCCGAUGGAGCUACAGGAAGUCGACCACCUUCUCGAAGAGCUGACAGCUCUACUUGUCUCGCAAGAAAGUGGCCGCGACGAUGCCGCCAUUGAACCAGCGAUUCUCAACGCCGUCGCAGACUACGUCGAAGGCGUCGACUCCACCGGUGCUGGCCUCGAACAGCUCAGACACGCCCUCGAAGCCGCCGUCGGCGAGGACGGCAACUCGGCGAAGCAACGCAUGAAGGCUGCAGGCUGCGGUCGCGCCAUCCGGCUGCUGCGCGAUGCCGUCUCGCAGGCGUAAAGAAGCAACAUUCGCAUACCCCAAACCGAAACACAGCAAAAGCGCCCAAGCGGGAACCCCGCCCCCAGCACCCCCCUCUACCCGACGGCGGGGGGGGGAACCCCAGCGCAGCACCGAAGCCCCCCGCCCCACCCAACUCCAAGCCCCGAUGAAACCCAGCCUUCCACCCCCCCCCCACCGCACACCAAACCCCCCCCACCAUGUGCCCAACCGCACCUCGGGGCGAUGCGCCACCGACGCCGAAAG
rnacentral:misc_RNA from 1 species